CUUUACAGCUGAAUCCAAUGUUUCACAAAAUAACAAUAAUGGAGAUAUAUAUAAAAAAAAUAAUAAAAAUUAAAAACAUAAAAAUGAUUAAAAAUCAUGGAAACCAUCUAAUAUAUAGUAGCCGAUAUCUUGUAGUAAGAUAAUGGCAUUCAUUGAAGGAGAAGAUAGACACAUAACCAAUUUGUAACCAACAAAUCAUGAUAUUGAAGUCAAUCCCCGCC
rnacentral:lncRNA from 1 species